GAGCGCCUGGGGCCGACCGCCGAGUGUGAGACGCGUACCCGGAUUGGAUGCCCGAGCCCGCGGUGAAUGGGACUCCCUUACCCAUUGGUUCAUUUAACGGUACCACUCGGAGACAGGUGUAAUCUCUAAAGUCCCACACCAAGACAUUCGGUAUUGGAACUUCAUCAUAUGAAUUUCAGCCACUUGACGUUUCCACGUGUCACAGCUCUGACCUCAGCAACUGAAGUCAGAAAGAAGGCAAAGAUUGCAAGGCAGACAAAGCAAGGGUUGAGGCGGGUAGCAAACAGAAGCACAUUGUCAUGGCAAAUAUCUGCCUAGCGUGUAUGCAGAUCUAAGACCAUGGCCUAAAUCACACCAUACCAAGCUCGGGGCCAGGUGGGGCAAGAGCCCAGAAACAGGAGAGCACCUUGCAUUCCCUGGACAAGCUGCGGAGACCUUCUAACAACAGUCCUUCCAAAGGCCGUGGUUCCUCCCUCCUCCCAGACUUGGAAUAAGGAAUACUGGCAUAAUUCUGUUUUUGUUUUUUGUUUGACUCCUUCAGUGCUACUACCUCUGAAAUAUCAAACAUAAAGCUUUUUCCAGAAGGAACUGGCAUUUGCCCUAAGCACAUGAUACUGAUACUGCCUAGGAGGUAAUGUGGAUCCACCCAGAGGAAUUCUGGACGUCUUCAUUUGGAUUCGAUGUUCUAAAGUAUAUCUAUUUACCUGAGCAGAGGGGAAGUCAAGACUUCUGUUAAGCACCACAACUCCAGUGACUCUGCCUGGGGACUGGACAAGAAGCUGAAGCACUCAUCCUUUAUAUUUGUUUACUCAAGUUUUUCAAUGAAAGGCUUUGGCCAUAAAUUCAAAAAACGAAUUCCUUUUAUCCUUCUGCCAUCAUUUUUGUCUAAAUAAAUCUGCGUCUUUAACACUCAAUAAAUGGAUCGCUUCAAUUGAA
rnacentral:lncRNA from 1 species